CCUACGGGUGGCAGCAGUGAGGAAUAUUGGUCAAUGGCCGGGAGGCUGAACCAGCCAAGUAGCGUGAAGGAUGACGGCGCAAUGGGUUGUAAACUUCUUUUGUGGGGGGAUAAAAGGCUGCACGCGUGAGGUUUUGUAGGUACCCGAUGAAUAAGGAUCGGCUAACUCCGUGCCAGCAGCCGCGGUAAUACGGAGGAUUCGAGCGUUAUCCGGAUUUAUUGGGUUUAAAGGGAGCGUAGGCGGCUCGUUAAGCCUGCCGUGAAAUGGCGGGGCUCAACCCUGGCAGAGCGGUCGGAACUGGCUGGCUUGAGUGCGGCGAAGGUAUGCGGAAUUCGUGGUGUAGCGGUGAAAUGCUUAGAUAUCACGAAGAACUCCGAUUGCGAAGGCAGCAUACGGUACCGCUACUGACGCUGAGGCACGAAAGCGUGGGUAUCGAACAGGAUUAGAUACCCUUGUAGUC
rnacentral:rRNA from 1 species